GACGAACGCUGGCGGCGUGCUUAACACAUGCAAGUCGAACGGUAACGCCCCUUCGGGGGUACACGAGUGGCGAACGGGUGAGUAACACGUGGGCAACCUGCCCUUGACUCUGGAAUAUCAGUUGGAAACAGCGGCUAAUACUGGAAAUUCAUCGUCUCCUUCCUGGGGGGUGGUGGAAAGCAUCGGCGGUCAGGGAUGGGCUCGCGCCCUAUCAGCUUGUUGGUGAGGUAAUGGCUCACCACGGCUUCGACGGGUAGCCGGCCUGAGAGGGGGACCGGACACACUAGGACGGAGCUACGGCCCAGACUCCUACGGGAGGCAGCAGUGGGGAAUAUUGCACAAUGGGCGCAAGCCAGAUGCAGCAACGCCGCGUGCGGGAUGACGGCCUUCGGGUUGGAAACCGCUUUCAGUAGGGACGAAGGGUGACUGACGGUACCUACAGAAGAAGGACCGGCUAACUACGUG
rnacentral:rRNA from 1 species